rnacentral:tRNA from 1 species
UUAUAAAAAAGAACGGUUAUAACGCUACAGUGGUGAAGAGAUCUGGAAACCUAGGUAAUGACAAU